AGGUCCAAAGCUCAAUGGGGUAUCAUUUGACUGCAGAUCAAGAGGUCAUCGGUUAGAACCCGGUUGGGCCCU
rnacentral:tRNA from 1 species